GAGAUCUGCGUUCAAGUUUUCACUCCCUGAACCAGGACCGGGACCGAGGCCGGGUAUGACGUCCAUUUACCUAUCACACGAAGAAAGUGAACACUUUGGUGUCUGUUGUUCGUCUCCUUGACUCCUCGAGCUCCUAUCUCUAGGCGUUGUCUCAUCGGUAACAAAGUGUUUACACGUGGUCAUGAUGUGAAAGCGUUCCGAGUUGGAAUUUGCUGAAAUGAAAAAAUGCAAAUUGACUGUUUCCUGCUACCCAUUCUUAUCGCCAUUCGAGAGUGAAACAAAGGGCAGUAACUCUGACAGAUCAGAACAUGCAGCACGAUCCAAAGACGUCAUUGGGGAUUAAUGAUAAAUGAAGUUACGAUAACAUUUUGACGGGAUACAUGCCAUACAUGCUCG